rnacentral:rRNA from 1 species
GACGAACGCUGGCGGCGUGCUUAACACAUGCAAGUCGAACGGUGAAGCCCUUCGGGGUGGAUCAGUGGCGAACGGGUGAGUAACACGUGAGCAACCUGCCCCUGGCUCUGGGACAACCACUGGAAACGGUGGCUAAUACCGGAUACGACCCGCCUCGGCAUCGAGUGUGGGUGGAAAGUUUUUCGGCUGGGGAUGGGCUCGCGGCCUAUCAGCUUGUUGGUGAGGUGAAGGCUCACCAAGGCGACGACGGGUAGCCGGCCUGAGAGGGCGACCGGCCACACUGGGACCGAGACACGGCCCAGACUCCUACGGGAGGCAGCAGUGGGGAAUAUUGCACAAUGGGCGAAAGCCUGAUGCAGCGACGCCGCGUGAGGGAUGACGGCCUUCGGGUUGUAAACCUCUUUCAGCUCCGAAGAAGCGAAAGUGACGGUAGGAGCAGAAGAAGCACCGGCUAACUACGUG